AGCACAUGGAAACCAUGAUGGGUUAAGGUCAGCCUGGCUCCAGAGGAUGGCUGAAGUGGCAGCAGGGAUGUCCCGAGGUGGGCGCUGGACCGGUCUGGAGAUGGUGGCUGUGUCUCUCUUGCAGCACAGCUGAAACACUUUGGGUGGCAGGUCUGGCUAUCCCAUGGACCUUUGUGCCCCCAUCACUCAUGGGAGCACAGAAUCACCUGGCUGGAAAAGACCUGAAGAUCAUCAAGUCCAACCAUAUCCUGACAUCUGCCUGUACACAGCUCUUAGCCUGUGUCCCUGUGCUCCUCAUCCAGACAUCUUUUGAACAGCUCCAGGAAUGGGAACUCCAACACUUCCCCAGGCAGCCAGGACAGUGAUGGGGUCACCAUUCCCCACCCCUUGGCAGCCUUGUGCCACGGUGCCUGUGGAGCUGUGGAGAGACUCAGAAACAGUUGAGCUUACAUUUAAUCUCCGACGAACGGCACAGUCUGAGGCACGAAGCCUUUGCGAACUUCAUCUGGGCUGGUGCAAUAGGAGCCUCCACCGUGGAGCAACUCCUGGGCUGGUCGCCUGGGACCUCUCAGGACUAUAUAACGUUCCCAAGCAAACCUCCAACCCAGCAUAACUGAAACAUCCAGCCGAACGUUCACCACAGGUGGGAAAUACACUGGGGAAAAGAAGUAACUUUGUGCAC